CCUACGGGUGGCAGCAGUGAGGAAUAUUGGUCAAUGGACGCAAGUCUGAACCAGCCAUGCCGCGUGCAGGAAGACGGCUCUAUGAGUUGUAAACUGCUUUUGUACGAGGGUAAACUCAGAUACGCGUACCUUUCUGAAUGUAUCGUACGAAUAAGGAUCGGCUAACUCCGUGCCAGCAGCCGCGGUAAUACGGAGGAUUCAAGCGUUAUCCGGAUUUAUUGGGUUUAAAGGGUGCGUAGGCGGUCGGAUAAGUUAGAGGUGAAAUCCCGAGGCUCAACUUUGGAAUUGCCUCUGAUACUGUUCGGCUAGAGAGUAGUUGCGGUAGGCGGAAUGUAUGGUGUAGCGGUGAAAUGCUUAGAGAUCAUACAGAACACCAAUUGCGAAGGCAGCUUACCAAGCUACUUCUGACGUUGAGGCACGAAAGCGUGGGGAGCAAACAGGAUUAGAUACCCAGUAGUC
rnacentral:rRNA from 1 species